CCUGGUUGACCCAAUGACCCAGU
rnacentral:snRNA from 1 species